UGGGGUGUGGAAUAGGAGUACUUUAUUGGCAUGGUCCUAUGUGAAAGGGGACGAAGAUGUCGAAAAUGAUUUAUUAUCAAACCGCCCAUUCCUAUCAUGCAACAUUCUGAGUCCCAAUUGGUUGGAUUGGUUUUGUUUGCCAGCCAAUAUUUGUGAUGGAGGUGCAGCUGUAUGCUUGAAGCAAGAACAGCGAUCCUAGAGUACCUGAUGAUGGAGGUUCUUCUCUAUUUGUUACCUGUUAUAGUUGAUCUUUUAUUUGAUAUUCGUAUGAAGAAACUUUUUCUUAGGGAGGAUAAAACAAUUUCCUUGUGUAGUUUGAUGGGUCCUUGUAUUUUAUUCUUAUACUUAUGCAUUUUUGUUCAGCAAUUUUAAUUUUCCAUUGAAAUUUUUUCGCUUUGUUUGGUCCGAUGUUAUGUAAUUAUGAGUCUUUUAUAAUCAUAAGGUUUGACAUUUUCUUUUCUUUGGUGGCAUGAAAUGACUCAGCAGCUGGACAAGAAAUAAUGAAUCAUAUUAUGAAAUAAAAUACAAUGCUCUUAGGUUGAAGCCCACCAUGUUAAUUGAACUGUCCCAGUUGUGGUGUGAGUCAUUUUUGACUUUUACAAUUAAUCCAGCUAGGUGAAGAACCUCCUUCAUACAACCAAACUAGGGGAAGCAUCUAUCUUUCCAAUCUCUUAGGAUUUGGCUGCAAGCAGGCUCUAAAGUAUUGUUCUGAUCAUUGUAUACCGUACUGGCCUGAACCGGAUGGUAAGGGACGUACCAUACCAUAUGGUUCGGGACUAAUAUUCAGUACAGGUGGCAAACUGAUACUCCGUACGUCAAAAAAACUUCGUACCUGUACCGACACUGUGCUAGUGUGGCACCGGUUUGGGGUCCGGUACCGAGAUGACGAACCUUGGUUCUAAUCAUAUGCGUCUAACCAAAUGAAACAUCCAUCAUUCUGGGACUUGGCUAUCCUAUCCCUAAGUUCUUCAAUACCUAAGUUAACUACAUGCCCGGAAUGUGAAUUCGGCAACAUAGGGUUGUGCUACUUUAGCUGCAUUGAGAAAAUGAGAUAAUAAAUUUAAUUACUAUAGUUUUUUCACAUGGAAAAUUCCUUGUUAAGCUUGGCAAGUAUGAUUUUCAGAGAUAAAGGUGCGGGGCACUCAAUAAGAUGGUAUGAACUUGUAUACAGAAGGUUUAAAGGAGAUCUUUUAGCCAUGUUUUGAUCCAAUUAGGCUGGGUUUGAGACAUAUCUGAGAGUAGCAACCCUCUCACACUUCCUAGGCCACUCUAGUAAGUUCAAUAAGACAAAAGGGGUAUCUUUCUAAAUGUAUCUUCCUCCAAUUCUCACUGCCUGAUGGCUUCAGAAAACCAGUCAUCAAUGCCUGAGUGCUCUCCUCUUUCCUUCUCCUUUUUUGUGCUUUGCACUGCAGCAGAUGACUGAAAGAUGGCUAUCACAAUGAACUGUGGCAUUUCAAUACAAUUGUAAACUUUGAGCCCCCCACUCAUUGCUGCUUUUCAUUUAUGCUUGUUGGGCAAUUCUCGCAACUCAUUUACUUUUCUGUCUGAAUAGUUGGCUGGUAUGAGCAAAGGCAAGGGGCCCUCUGGUUUUCCUUUUCCCUUUUUGUGUUUUUCUAUACUUGAUACACUGUAACCAUGUUUUGCCAAGGAUUUAGGCUUUUCUCAGAGGAGAUGAAUUUGCACUAACCAGAUCUUUAGUAUGAUUAUAUAUUAUUAUGUUUAGUUGAGGGAUUGAACAGAGAUUAUUAUUGAGGGGUUGAACAAAGACCAAAUAAACUGCACGGUGGAUCAAACUCUAUAAUGCAGAUAUUGAUUUUAAUAUAAGGGAAAUAAUGUAGACCUACCGUAUCUUCUCAGGAUAUGGAUAUCAAUAUGAGGGGAAAAACCAAGGCAUGGUAUCUUGAUUUUGGUUUGUUAAUUGCAGUAUCAAUACAAAUUUGCAUCUUGAAAAUAUUUUGGUCGGAUUCUUGUAUCCGUCUCUCCAUAAUAAGCAUCCCAUUAGCUCUAUAAGCCCAUGUGUUGGGCAUGAGACUCUUGUUGUACCAUGGCAACAUACACUUUCUCAAGGUUCCCUCUCUCAUUUUAUCUUUGAUGAUGCUUGCCACUUUUGUCCCAAGUCGACUGAUGAAAUAUCAAACUGAACUCUGAUGUCUUCCAACCUGUCCAUUCAUGGAAGGUGAGGUUGCAAUUCUGGAUGGCCUACCUAUGUCUUUGGCCACUUUAAGGCUUCAUUUUACUUUUCUCUUUACUGAGCUAUUAGAUUAGGUAAAGACCAUUAGAUCAAUCUUUCUCUCUCAACCUCGAGCCCCUUCUUGUUCUUGUAUUUUAUUUCUUUCCUCCUGUUAUUCUUCAUUAAUGUGUAAGUUGAGAUCAGAAUUUGUAAAUGUGAAAUUUGUUGUAAAGGAACAAAGGUCUAAAGAUCCUUGAGAAAGGUCAAGAGAGGAACCUAAGUUGCUAGAUUAAUCUUACUUUGAUCUUACCGAAGUCCAAAAUCAUGCUUAGGAGGGGAAAUUGGACAUUUAUUUUCAUUUUCCUUCAUGAAAUGGAAGGAAAAGGUUGAAUUGACAUUGUAAAAUCACCUAAUUGGGUCGUGCAGGAUUGAAUGAUCAAGGAUUGGAGUGCACAGCAGCAGAUGAGUUGAGUUAGAGUUAUCCUUGGCCAAGAAAUAUAUGACUAAUAGAAUCUGAGGAAUCUCCUAGUAUCAUAAUUUGCCUCAACACCUCUGUCUUGUUGAUGAUAUCUCAAGUUUUCUUUUGAUUACUGAGAGAAUGGAAUUGUGAUAAGCCAAAUAAUCUCUUGCCUAAAAAAUUAACCCUUGUUCUUUAUAUAUGCCAGAACAAGAGAGGAGCUUUACAAUGAAUGCUUGAGUAUUUAUAAAUAGUGUAAAUUGCCCUGGCUGGUUUGGUGUGAGUAAGAAUGCACUGAAUUUGGAUCUGGAGAAAUGUAAUGCAUGAUAACAUAAAACUUUUAGAGGGAUGGAUUAAUAUCUAAAAAUGGUUUUGGGUGUCGAUUUAGAGACAAAAUAAACCAGAUUGGGAUGAGAGAGGUUUCAAGAGGUGUCCCUUCUCCAAGUGCUUAGGGAGGAAUUGCCCCCUCAAAAGAGCUUUUUAGCAUUUGAUAAGAAGCUCAUUCUCUUUAAACCUGUUCUUUUCCUUUUCUCUUUAAGUUCAUUCAUUCAAAUUCCCUGAAACAAAUUUCAGUACUUGAUGACAUCUAUUUUGAAGUAUCCUGCUAUUUUUACAGGUAAGAAUCCCAAGUGUCCAAGGAUAUUCAGCAGGGUGCAAUCAGCCUUCAGUAUGGGUGAAACCUCCUCAUGGGAAGGUAAACUUUGUUGAGAUUCCAUUUAGGCUAUGUCUUGGGCCAAAGAGGUACAAAAAAGAUGUUAGAUGGCGCAAAGUCCCUUCGGCAACAGAUAGUAAUAAGGCAGCUGCAGAACCAAACACCACAGACUCUGCAAAUACUGAAACAACUGUAACCAACAAUCAGCUCCCAUCAUCUAAUGUUCAGCUUGAUGUGAAUGGUAGUGGCAAAACCUCCCCUAAAAUGCAGGAGCCCACACCAAAAAGAUCACCUUUGACAGCAAGGGAGAAGCUAAGGGCGGCGCGUGUCCUCAGUAAAUAUGCAGAAUCGCAGCCUUCCAAACCAAAACCUGGUAGUACAGUAUUGGAUGCAUUAAGAGAGAGCGAUAAAGGUAAGAAAAGGUCUGGCCUCCCAGAAGCUCCCACAGAUCUAUUAGAUGAUAGCAAGCGUGGGCUUCCAAAGCAAGGAUUGACCUUUGAUCUGCCUGGGGGCACCGAUCUGUUCCUCAUUGUCUUCUCUUUCGUCUUCAUUAGCACAGUCAUGUUUGCGACAACUUACGUUGUGUGGAGAUCCGGUGCUAUACAUUUUAAUGAAUACUGAAGAGGAAGCAGCCUCUAUACUCAAAACAGUGGAAGCAACCUUGCAGUUCUCUUCAUAUCCUGAUAGCUGUUUGAAAGCAAAAUAAUGGGAGAGGUGAUGGCAAGUGCAAUACUACUCAGUAACAGAUUGUUUGUAAUGCAUUGGUGCUCGUCUGUAGAAUCAUUUUAGGCCAUUGUGAGUUGCACAAGUACUGGCUUUACAAUUCUUUACAAUUCUAUUGCUUAAGAUGGCAGUGUGUCUGCGAAAAGAGAGUAAUUGUAAAUGUUACUCGACCUUUUGCAUCUCAAGGUGGGAGAAAUUAUAUAUAUAUAUAUAUAUAUAUAUGAAAACUAUUAGCCAGGCAAGGCACAGCUCCAGGUAUAGGGAUAUGUUAUCAUGGUUCUCUAAGCCACCGAUUUAUCAUGUCUAUUUAUGGAUGGGUACCACCACUUUCCUGGUUACUUGUAUGAGUUCCAAGUAAUUGGGACGUAGCUCGCUAGCUGUCAAGUGUAACUAUGUGGCCUGGUCAAAAGCAUUGUGUGAUACCUACGUGACAAGUAUGUACAUACUAAAUUACAUGUGAAAGAAGGGAACUACAGGAACCCAAUCAAUUUUAGAGUUCAAGAUUUCUGAGAAGACUGCUGCAAAUUUAAACACUGUAAUCGAAUUUGCAGCUUGUCCAGUUUCAAACAACCAAACAACUCCUAAAUGAAAAAAUAUACUGAAACAAUUUUAAAUAUCUUAUAAAUUUUAUAAUCGUACGAUUAUGCUUGCAUUUAGAUACGACUCUAUUGCAUCUGGAUGCAGAUAAUUACCACAUGGAAUGAGGACAUGAUUUAAUGAGGCUACAAGAUACCAGUUGGCGUUCCACAUUCCUUGCGAUCCAUCAAAGAUGAUUUGCAUCUGAAAUUAGACGAGACCAAACCUUGUGGAAGAUAUCCAGUGGAUACGACAUUCUAAACUCGAGACAGACCAACAAUUCCUUAAAAAAUUAAAUCUUAUAUAUUUAGAAAACUAAGUUAUUUGGAAGUCUAAGAUAAGUUUUUAUAUCUAACUAAGUUCAUCCUAACAAGUUGUUAUAGGAUGACAGGAGAAGCACUAUUUAAUUCGGAUAUAAUUAUUCCGUAGCCCCAUUCUGGUAAAAGUGCUUUUUAAUGCAACGGUAUGAGGAAGGAUAAUUAUUUUUAAUGGGUUCGUAGCUAAUUGGGUUGGGUGUUCAUCCAUUGCCGCAACUUAUGAGAUUGGGCUAUCUCUAGAACACUCAUAAAACUAAGAUACUAACACAAGGCUGAAAAUUGUUAGCCCAAAUGAACUUGACAAUAACCAGAACUAUAUGUGUGGCAUGUGAAAUUUGUAUCAAAGAUCCUAGUUCAAGACUCUGAUCACUAUGGACUCUAUAAAUGGAAUAUGUUAACACUAAAUAAAGGUUAAAACCCACAAGGUAUCUUUACCUAUUGCACAGCAUUCUUAGUUUAGCUGUAUUUUGUAUGUGUUAUACGAUUUUCAAAAUUUUAAAUUAUGUGGAGAGUUGUUAGUUUAUUACUGAAAUAUUUAAUUAAUAAACCAACACAAUUAGCCUAGGAUAAUUUGAGGAAUAAUAUGCACAAGGCAUCUUUAUGGAUUUAUAGUGGCAAUUUUCAGAUUUACAUCGACAAAAACUGCCUCGUAGGCGGAAUUUUAUUUUAAAAGUAUGAUAAAAAUAAAUGCCUUUUUUUUUGAUAAAACAGAUGAACCAUAUAAAUCUAGUAUAAGUACAUUCAAAAAGUUAGAAAGUAAAAUAUUCCGAAAAAAGAUAGCAAGGAUGUAUCAUCCGUCCACGGUAUCUUGCUGAAAUAAUCGGUAAGAAAGUAUGGAAGGCGGCUCUAUUCGCUUUGUUUUUAAAAAGGAGAUUCCGUACAAAAAAAUUGAAACUACCGACAAACGACUAAUUGCGGGUUUUCAAAAAUAAUCCCAAUAAAUAGCCCCAUAAGAAACCUGUGGAGAAGAUUUUAUUAAAAAAUAUAUACAAUCAAAUAAAAAAGGUUGUGAAUAUAAAAUUUCAAAACAAAGAGAAAAAAAAGAGAACAAAUGAUGAAUUAAUUGUAUCUCAACCCAAAGCCAUUUUAAUAAUAACAUUCCUAUAUAUGCUGCAAGAAGAGGAGAAACUCAGAUUUAGAGGCUGCUGCUUGCAGGACUACAUCAUCAUGACUUUAAACUCGUCAAAGCUAAUCACCCCAUCCCCAUUAAGGUCAAACCUACAAAUCAUAGCCCGGCACUCCUCCAGCUCCCUGGACGCGCCCAGCCGGCUCAGCAUCCGCUUCAGGCUCCUGGGCGUGAUGCACCCCUCCCCCUCCAUCUCGUACAUCCCGAACGCCUCCAUCAGCUCCCUCUCCUUCUCCUCUUCCUCCACCCCCACCAACCCCACAAACUCCUCCAGGUCCAGCAACCCGUUGCCGUCCUUGUCGGCCGACCUCACCACCGCCUCGGCCUCCUCGAGGCUCAUCUCCUCGCCGACAGCCCUCAUGAUAAGUCGAAGCUCGGCCGAUGAGAUCUUUGCAUCGCCAUCCACAUCGAAUCGGCCGAAGACUCGUUCGAGUUCCGAAUGAUCACCGAUCUUUUCCGAAGAUGAUGGAUUGGGAGAAGGACUAGCUUCUUUCUCUGUCUUAGAAUUCGAGCAGGAAGCCAUUCCAAUUAAGUAUUCUCUGUGUUGAGAUUUUUAGUGAUUUUAGAGGAAAGAGAGGAGCAGAAGAAAGAUUAGGAGGCAAUUGGAUAUAGGUACACACACACACACACACACACACACACACACACAUAUAUAUAUAUAUAUAUAUAUAUAUAGAGAGAGAGAGAGAGAGAGAGAGAGAGAGAGACGNNNNNNNNNNNNNNNNNNNNGAGAGAGAGAGAGACGUGCAUGCAGAGUUUUGGAGAAAACGUCAGAGGCAUGCACGGAAAUUAGAAGUUUUGAAGGGGAGGGACGAGGUCGUACACGGGCUUGGUCGCUUUGACGUGGAUAUAUACGUCUGGAAGGUUGGGAGAGGAGAUUGGAGGCUGGCACGCGAUGAAAGCCGUUUGAAAGGGUCUGACUCUGGACCCUGGGAAUGGAGAGGUCCAAAAUGCUGUGCAACUUUGGGACGAAAGGAGCAGAUAUUGGACGGUCUGGAUUGCUUAAUCAGUACCGGGAUUUCUGGUGGGCCAACGAAACGGUCGAAUGGCGUGAAGAGUCAAACUGAUGCCAUUUUCUUGACGCCGCUGAUGAUGCCAUGAUUGAUGGCUGGACUGACGGCCGAUCGUUUCCCACGAUGGAAUUGGUUUCUCGGAAGCUUCAAUGAUGGUUGAAUUCGAUUUGACUUCCUCGUACCAUGGGGAACUGCGAGCGUGACGAGAAACGCGUCCAAGCCGUAGGAAGAAGUCGAAACCCCACGGGAGAGUAGUUUCUGUCAUUCCUCGCGUCUUACCCGACGUUUUCCGAUUUGAAGGUAUCUAAUUUGGUGAUUUCCUCGUUUCCCACCUGAUCAGUUGCCGGUUCCCAGUAUAUUUUGAUGGGUUCUCAUUAGAUGGGUACAUUCUUUCUCAUUUUUAAUGAAAAAGAAUCUAUGUAUGCAUAUCGAUCCCUAUUUUUUAAUUUUAUUUUAGUUUCUGAAAUUCUGUAAUUAGUAUUUAAUACAUCCCUCAUGUUAAGAACAAAAUAUUUUACUUUUUUUUUCAAUGACAUUAAAAUCAUAUUUAUUGGAUAUUUUUUGCCCCCGUUCUCAAGUCCAGAGCAACAUUCCUUCUAAAAUGGGAACAUUUUUGGCCUAUUGUAAGCUGGUUGAGGAGGACUACAAAUGUAAUUGUCGAGUUGUGCAUUGAGCAGGUUUGGCUUGAAGGUGACUCUGUUACGGUCAUUUCUUAGCUUAAUAAUUCAUUCAAAUACAAAUUAAAUCUUAUGCCAGUUACAUCUCUCAUGUCUACCGUGAGCCUAAUCAAGCAGCCGACUGUAUGGCAAGUCAUGUUCUGCGAGGGAAUGUUGUGUGGACUCAUGGGGAUGUUCUGGAUCCUCCAUUUGCGGCCAUCCUUCAUGCUGAUGGGUACAAUGCUCAUUAUAUUGGAAAUGUAUAAGGUCCUUUGUGAUCAUAGUAUCAAGCCAGUUAUGGCAGCAGACUCUUGGAAAUUAAUUUUGCUUUUACCUUCAGGUUGUCUUAUUUGCUCUUUUGAUACAGUAUGCCUCUAUGAAUGAUGUGGGCAAGCAUUGGAACCUCUGUCUGAUUUCUAUCUUCAUAAAUUUAUUAUGCUCUGUUUCUUGAAAGGAAGGGCAUGAUCUUUCAAUCUCUAGAAUCUUUUAUAUAAAUCUUUAAGGAUUGUUUACAAUGAUCUUGAUAGCCUUGCAGGUAUUCCAGGAAGUUUUUUAGCAAAUACACAAGGCAAUAUGUUCCUUUGGGUCCUCUUAUUUUGUCUUCAGGCUAUCAUGAGAUUUGCUAGGAAUUACAACUACCUAGAAUCUAUAGGUCUGAAUUUCUGUCAGCCAGUUUGCUUCUCCAUUGUUUUCCAAAUGGUGUCUUCUUUACCAUAUGCUAGGCUUAGAGCCAGAUAUCCUUUACUGCUGAAUGGGAUGCAGAGCUUUAUAUAUUUAUAGGACUUGUUUAUAUCUUUCUUUAUUUCUGUAAGGCGGAAGCUGAACCUAUUGGGAACAGGGGUUGUGCUCUUCUCAAGUUCUAAGAUUGUUGACUUAUAUGCAUUGCCAAUUUCAAGUUGGACUGAAGCAGUCGAUUUUCACUGGGAUGCUAGAAAGAAACGAGCAUAAAAGGAAGAGAUAGUUUUGAAUUGUUUGGCUUGAUUACUAUUUGCUUGUAUCUCAGUUCAAUAUAUAGAGAUUUACAAGUAACAGAAUUCAGUAUCUAAAGGAGUACAGUUAGGAUUCACAACAGCUACAUUUGUUACAGACGUUAGGAAGAGUUCGAAUUUGUCAAACUGAUUGAGAUGGCAAAACUGAUUGAGAUUUUUCUGCAUAAUUUUUGCACUGCUCCCUGACUGGGCCUUGUGAUACUCUAACACCCCCUUGCAAACUGAUGGGGAGGGCAUACACCAUUAGUUUGUGACGCAAAAACUGAAAUCGAGCUGUUGGAUGACCUUUUGUGAAUAUGUCAGCAACCUGAUCAUGUGUGGAUACAUGCUUCACCUGAAUGUCACGAUUAACCAUCUUCUCCCUAAUGAAAUGGUAAUCGACUUCUAUAUGUUUUGUUCUUGCAUGAAAUACUGGAUUUGAGGCUAAUGCAAUGGCUCCAAUAUUAUCACACCAUAAGAUUGGUGAAGAGGCCAAAAUAACAUGUAAUUCUUUUAGUAACAUGCGAAUCCAAUGCAUCUCUGCAGUUGCCAAGGCCAUGCUUCUAUAUUCAGCUUCUGUACUUGAUCUGGACACAAUCCCUUGUUUUUUUGCACUCCAGGAGAUAAGGUUCCUGCCAAGAAAAAUACCAUAUCCACUUGUACUUUUCCUGUCAUCUGGAUUUCCAGCAAAGUCAGAAUCACAAAAUGCAUUCAAAGUAAUAGUAGAUGGUGAAUAAUGAAGACCAAAAUCAACCGUCCCUUUUAAAUAGCGGAGCACUCUUUUGACAGCAACCCAGUGAGGUUCCCUCGAACUAUGCAUAAACUGACACUGUUGGUUUACGGCAUAGGAUAUAUCUGGUCUAGAAAUUGUGCAAUAUUGAAGAGCUCCAACAACACAUCUGUACUCAGUCGGAUCAAGAAGCAAUUCACCUUGUUGAGACGACAAUUUCGUACCAGAUAUGAUAGGACACGCCAAUGGUUUGGCGCCAAUCAUUUUGGUACUUUCCAGCAAAUCAGUAAUGUAUUGUGCUUGCCUUAGGUGCAGACCCAAGGUGUCUCUAGAUGCCUGAACACCGAGAAAAUAGCUCAACUCUCCCAGGUCCUUGAUGUGAAAACUCAACUUCAACUGUUCAAUAAACUUGAGAAUUGCCUCUUUGUAUGAACCUGUUAUAAUGAUGUCAUCUACAUAUACCAACACAAACAUUUUUAAUUUGUCAGUACAGUAGGUGAAUAAGAAAUAGUCAACUUUGGAUUCAGAAAAUCCAAAAUCAAGAAGUUGCUGGGAGAGCCUACGAAACCAAGCUCUAGGGGCUUGUUUGAGCCCGUAGAGUGACUUGUGGAGGCGACAGACAAAAUCUGGAUUAUUUUCAUCUAUGAAACCACGGGGCUGUUCCAUGACUUCUUCAUCUAGGACACCAUGCAAGAAGGCAUUGGAAACAUCUAACUGCCUUAUAUUCCAACUGAAAGUCACUGCAAGUGCUAACACCAACCGAAUUGUGGUAGGUUUCACAGCUGGAGAGAAUGUUUCAUAGUAAUCUAUACCAGAACGUUGAUCAAAUCCUUUCGCUACCAACCUCGCUUUGUAGCGUUCAAUGCUACCAUCUGGAUUCCGCUUGAUUUUAUACACCCAUUUGUUCCUCACAACAUGUUUAUUUGAUGGUCUUGGACAGAGGGACCAUGUUCCAUUCUCCAUCAAUGCAUCAAAUUCACACCCCAUAGCAGUACGCCACUCUGGUUUUGACACUGCCUGUGUGUAGCAAGAUGGCAUAAUUUCAGGAACAAUACUGGACAGGACUUUGAGAGGAUAUCGAGUAGCAUAAAAGGUCUUAUAAUCAGGAUACUGUUUUGGUUUGGAAUUUCCAGUUUUGGACCGAGUUAUGAUUUCUCGAUGGGUAGUGGAAGUUGUUGUGGUUUCUGUCGUUGGCUGAGUGAAUGGAAUCAAAACAGGUGGGUUCAACUCAGGCAGGGUAAGUGACUGUGAGGUUGGAGUUGAGUUGGACUCAAGAACUGGUAUUCCUGCAUGUGAUGGAGAUAUAUUGUUAUCUCCAAAAUUAUACGGUGUAGAUUCCUGUAAAAUAGGAAGAGGCAUAUGUGGAAUGGUCUCUGAUUGGUUAUCAGAAUUCUGGUGCACAAGGAUAUCUUCAUAAGAAUUACUUUGCACAUUUGACAAUAAAGGAACUGAAAUUGGUAUAAGAGACAUACCUGGUGACAUAUCACUCAUUUUGACUGAUGAGAUUGAGCAUUUAUCCAUUGCAGGAAAAGAGUCUUCAUUAAAUACUACAUGUCUCGACACAUACACUCUUCCUGUGUCCAAGUCUAAGCAUCUAUAUCCUUUCUGUUGGCUGGCAUAUCCUAGAAACACACAUUGCUUGCNNNNNNNNNNNNNNNNNNNNNNNNNNNNNNNNNNNNNNNNNNNNNNNNNNNNNNNNNNNNNNNNNNNNNNNNNNNNNNNNNNNNNNNNNNNNNAUGAAGAACAAAAUAUGGUGAUAAAUUAUUCAAGAUCCUCGUAGGUAAACGGUUUAUUAAAAAUACUGAUGUUAUGAAAGCAUCAACCCAGUAAUUAUUCGGUAGGUGUGCUUUUGCUAAAAGAGAUAAACCUAUUUCUUGAAUAUGUCGAUGUUUUCUCUCAGCAAUGCCAUUUUGCUGAGAGGUAUGUAGACAAGUUAAAUGAUGAAGUAUCCCGUGCAUUGAUAAAAAUUCUUUAAAUUCGUUUGACAAAUAUUCUCCACCGUUAUCUGAUUGUAAUUGCUGAAUCUUACAAGUAAAUAAAUUUUCGACAAGGGGAAAAUACAUCAGAUUUAUAACGCAUGGGAUACAUCUAUGUGAAUCUGCUAAAAUCAUCGACAAAUAAAACAUAAUAGCGGCAACCACCAACCGAGGUUACUGGGGAUAUCCAAACAUCAGAAUGGAUGAGAGCUAAAGGUCUUGUAGAUUGCCGUGUGGAAUCACUAAAGGGUAGGCAUUUAGCUUUUCCUAGUUGACAGGACUUACAAAAACUUAACUUAUUGGCAGAUUCCUUAAUCGACAGAUAACCAAGUAAAUGGUCUAAAGUUGAUUUUGAAGGGUGUCCUAACCUAUCAUGCCAAUGAUCCAAUUGUAGUCUUUAUUCCCAGCUUUGCAAUGAGACAUCGAAGUUUAUUUGAAGCACUCUUGUGUCCAACAAACGGAUAAAGGCCAUUCUCAACCAGCCCGUGGAGCAAUAGUCGCCCUGUCUUGUUCUCCUUUACACAAAAAUCAACCCCAGUCAGUAUAAAGUAACAAUCAUUAUCAAGACAAAAUUUAUUAAUGGAUAAAAGAUUGGUGGAAGCAUUUGGGCAGUGAAGGAUGUUGUUAAGAUUAAAGGAUGAUUUGCCAAUGUCUAUGGAGGUUGAUCCAGUGUUUUGAAUCACUAAACCUGAGCCAUUGCCCACCGUGACAGUGUCUUGACCUUCGUAGGGCUGCUGGUUUGUCAAAUUUGCAGCAUUGGCGGUGAUAUGAGCAUUUGCCCCACUAUCAGCAUACCAAACUUGUUGAUCAUAAGUGUUGUUGGCCUCUGCUGCCAUGGCUGCAAGAUCAACUGGUUUGAAGGGAGUCCCAAACCUGUUUGGAUGUCUUCAUACCAUAGACAGAAGAUACUAGCUUUUCUGUAAUUGAAGCCAGUAACCAACUUAAGACACAGGUGUCUUUCUUGAACCACACUGCGUAAGCUGGGUUUGAUGUUCCAUCUGGAAGAGUUUUUGCUGGAGCAGGAUCAGCUCCAUCCAUGAUGCCAACAAGAUCGUGGCUCCUCAGAAAGACAAGGAAUUGGAUGCUCCAUGGCAGAUAAUUGGAGCCGACCAAUUUGUGAGACACAGGUUGAGAAUUUGUCUAAAUGGAUGGAUUUGGUAGGUUGGUAGAUUCAAGUGAGGCCAUUGGACUUGUGUUUUGAUGUUUUGGUGCGGAAGCGUAUUGACUAGGAUUAGGCGUUUGCCUUUGAGGGCUCUGAUACCAAGAAAGAAACGAGCAUAAAAGGAAGAGAGAGUUUUGAAUUGUGGCUUGAUUACUAUUUGCUUGUAUCUUAGUUCAAUAUAUAGAGAUUUACAAGUAACAGAAUUCAGUAUCUAAAGGAGUACAGUUAGGAUUCACAACAGCUACAUUUGUUACAGACGUUAGGAAGAGUUCGAAUUUGUCAAACUGAUUGAGAUGGCAAAACUGAUUGAGAUUUUUCUGCAUAAUUUUUGCACUGCUCCCUGACUGGGCCUUGUGAUACUCUAACAAUGCUAUGAUAUGGUUUCUCUUCCUUAACACAGUCUUACUCGUUUAUUUUCCUGCUCUUUUGCCUAUUCGUACUCAACAGGGCCUCUCCAUGUAUCCUGAAUUCAAGCAGCUACGGGAAAUUGUCUGGAACUUUAAUAUUAUAAAAGAUUUCUGCUCUAUUUCUCAGGGGAGGUUGAACGAUUAUUUUACCCUUGGAACGUUUGCCACACAGUUGUAUGGGAUGCCAAGGCCAAACUAGAAUGUCCUGCAAUUAUUCAGUCCAUAUUAAUAGCUGCUGCACCCUUUACUGUGCUUUCUUGGGCUGUCAUGAUCUAUUCUACUCUUCAGGCCAUUAGGAUGCAUAGGAUGUAUCACUGCCGGGAGACUAUGACUUUGGUGCUAUAUCAGUUAUAUGUAUUGUGGGAAUAAAGAGUCUCGAACUUAGUUCCACAUCUGUUAGAUAGCGAAAAAGGUCUGUGCCUUAAAUGGAUGGAGGAACCAUUUCCCUCGCAAUGCGCCUUUUUGUAGGACAAAACCGUGCGAGGGGAAGAGGCUUUGAAACCCCUCCCCAAAGUAGACAAUAUCUUGCGAGGGAUGCAGCCAUUUUUCUAUCUACGAUCGGUGAGGACUAAGAUUUGAGGCCUGCAUACCCUCGACCUCAUCAUUGGUGCUUUCGUUGAGAGCCCUUGAGCCUGGUACAGACCUUCCCGCUGAGAGGGCUGAUAUUGUGGGACUAAAGGAUCUCGAACUUAGUCUUAUAUCGGUUAGGUAGCGGAAAGAUAUGUGUCUUAAAUGGAUAGGAGAACCCUUUUCCUCGCAAGACGCCUUUUGUGGGGCAAAACCGUGCGGAGGGAAGAGACUAUGAAAUUCCUCCCCAAAGCGGACAAUAUUUUGUGAGGGACGCAGCUAUUCUUCUGCUUACGAUCGGUGGGGACUAAGAUCUGAGGCCGGGGGAUACCCGCGACCUCAUCAACAUGUAAUCCUUAAAGUCCUCAGCAGGAUAGUUAGGUUAUAGUCUUGUUUGUUGCCAUAUACAUCUCUUUUACUGUUGGAUAUCUUCUAUCCCAUGUAUGUGUAUGUGUGGGUUCUUAUAUUCAUAUGUGUUUCUCAGAGUUUGUAAUACUUUAUUUUGGAGUCAAGCUCACCUCCUUUUACUCAGACAAACGAAACCCGGUGUAAAAGUACUAAAAGCUAAAAGAUGAUAGUUUUUCUUGAAAGCAGAUAAGAUGAUAUAAAUUGUGAAAUUAAUAAUAAUUGAUAAAUUAUCUCCAUAAUUGGAAGGCGACAAUGACAACAAUUAUAUCAUCAAUACCAAUAAAAAUAAAAACAAAGCAUAGUUAUUUCGCUUGUUGUUGCUGCUAAAUUUUGAGCCGAGAUUGGUCAUUGCUUGGUCUGCUAUAAAGUCGGUGAGCAUCGAAGAGACGUAAGGUCGGAUAAGAUCGAGUUAAGUAAAAAUUGGUCGCCACUGAGGCCAACCUGCAAAAAGUCUACUUGCUGAAAAUUUCUAACGGAAGACCCUCUAAUGCUUAAGUCAGAAUACUGGUGCAACGGUGUGGAAUGAAGAAAAAUUAGUAAAGGAAAAUCUCCAAAUGAGCUUAUUCUUCGGGUUAUCUCUUUAUAUAGAGUAAAAUAUGCAUCAGUUACCUAGUUUAGCGCUACGUGCCUUAACUGUAUGGUAACGGUUGGCUGCACGUUGACAACAUAAUAACCAUUCUGCGCAAGUAGCAUAUGGCGAUGAUUGCGUCGAUCGUGCUCUAACUGCAAUCUUGGUUUAACUGUUAGUCUUUAUUACUUCGAGCAAAAUGGCAUCUUAGUUUUCGCCGACGUCAUUCAUUUGGUUAUGGCCGAAGUCAAGAAUGUUGCUUCAAGCCGAGGUUAAGAUGUCUAAUAUUAUCUUCAUCACUUAUCAUGUUUGUAAAGUAAAACAUUUAAAUGAAUUAACAAUAAAUUCAUGGAUAGUUGAAUGACCCGAGUAAUUUAAUUGCUCGACGAUAACUAACCAAGCCACGUAACUGUUGAACAAACUAAAGCAAUAUCUAAUGGGAAAAAAGGCCAGCUGGAACUAACAAUGCCAACUCUGCAUAAUUUCUUGCUAAAAUAAACUCUAACAAUCUAAUAAAUGAUUCUGUAAGAACUUCAGAUCCAACAGUGUAAACUAAUUUGCCAACACUUAUGUAGAGCAAAAUCUCAUGGUAUAGGGUGAGAUGACACUGUGCCUUUACGCAUGUGAAGGGUACUUUCCUUGAUAAGAGCAUUCUAUUCAAACAGCUUUCCAAAGUAUAUGCGAGGCGUCGAACCAGAAGGGCUUUGCCCGCACCUAAAUCACAAGUACGAAGAGACGUUCCUUACCCAAAAUUAAAAGACCGCAUAAAGCGUGGAUGCCUCAAGAAUAAAAUAAAAUAGAAUACCGGGAGCAUACUACAAUAUUAAAAAAAAAAUUGCAUUCAUUUUUUCCUAAAUAUCAAAAUUUAUAUGAGCAACCUUCCAAAAUUAAUAUUUAUAUUUAUAUCUCUAUAAAAUAUUUAUUUUGUAUAUAUAUUUUUAAUUUUUAUUAUUUAUAUAUAUAUAUAUAUACCAUUUAAUGUUAUUAAAAUAUUAGCAGUCUAAAAUUAAAAAUAAUUAAUUUUUUUUUAAUGAAUAGAUAUGUAAAAAAAUAUUAGAUAAAAGUAUAUAGAUCUGAAGUUCUAAAAUAUCAAAGAAAAAACUACUCCUUCAAGAUUUCUUUUUUCAGAAACAUUCACGGUAGCGCUGGGGCUGAUGUACUUUAUUUACAUUUGAAACGCAAAGAGGGAGCAAGCGGUGGAGGAGAUCUAAUCCUGACGGCUGGAUGCGGAGUCGGACGAGACGAUGAUGGGGAUGGCACCGCCGCCCUCCGAUCGCAGUCUGUUGAUGUAACUCCUCACCUCCUCCGCGAUCAUCUCCCGCAUUAUCGACACCAAGCACAUCUCCCGCAUCUCCGCGUCCCACCGCGCCUCCCCCCGCACCCCUCCUCCACCGCCCCCGGCGGCGCCGCCCUCCCCCGGCGGGCUCAGCGUCAGCGACGUCGCCAGAUCCGCCGCGAUCGGCACCAACGGCGGCCGCAGGGGCGGCGGGGGAGGCGGAGGCGAAGGGGCAGGCAUCGCCGCCACAACCACCGUCGCCACCUCUCUCCCGCUGACUUCAUCCCUCCUGCACGGCCGCUUGCCCGCCGUCUCCGAGUCGGACUCAUCGGGGUCGGCGGAAUCGGCGGCUAAGGGAACUGGAACAGAAGCGGGGGUGGCAGGGGCGAUGGCGGCAGCGACGGCACGGCGGCGGCGGCGGCGGAGAGUGGAGUUCCAGUGGUUCUUGAUGGCGUUGUCGGUGCGGCCGCUGAGUUGGCGGGCGAUGGUGGCCCACUUGUUGCCGUACUUGGCGUGGGCGGCGACAAUGACGGCGUCCUCAGCCGGAGUGAACGGACGGUGGUGGACGGCAGGGCUGAGCUGGUUGCACCAACGAAGGCGGCACGACUUGCCGGACCGGCCGGGAAUCCCUGAGCUAAUCAGAGUCCAAUUCCGGGGUCCGUGACGCUCCACCAGCCGCUUUAGCUGGGCGUCCUCUUCCUGGCUCCACGAACCUUUGAUCCGCUGCUCUCCAUCCACUCUCUCCCCUCCCCCACCUUCCAUCACUACCAUCCCCUCUUCUCUUCUUCUUGAUCCUUUUCUUCUUCUCCUCCUCCUUAUAUUCUUCUUGCUUUCAUAUAUAUCAAAAUAGUAGUAGGGUGAGAGGGGGGGUUGGGGACUGGCAAGAAGGGUUCGGUUCGUUGUUUUCGGUUUAGAAGAAGGGGGGCGAAGAAGAGGGAAUGGGGGGUUUCCGGUUUUGGGUUCCAUCUUCAACAACCGUCUCGCUUUUCAGAAAGGGAGGGUUGGUUGGCUGGCAGGCAUGAACCGUAAACCGCUCACCUGUAAAACCACCCGCAAAACCGCGUGGGCUACCUCUUCUAUGCGCACUCCAUUCUAUUCAGUACGCAACUCUAGUCUACGCUCUGAAAACCGAAAAUCCGGGAAGGCAGCAGUUCUAGAAGUUUAAAACAAGGGUGUUUAUAUCAAUCACCGUAUAUCAGUGGUACUGGACCGUGGGGCGCCAAGUACAAGGUGGUUACUGGACUCGAUGUCCCUUCUAAAACAAUGCACGAAUUUCGUAACAGCAUGCUUAUAUUUACUUUAUUCCCCCUUAUUAGCCAUAUUUUACUAUUUUAGUAAUAAAAUUCAUUUUUUUUUGGACAGCGAAGCACGUUUCUUGCCAAAAAAAAAAAAGCGAAAAAGGAAUAGUGGCAUGUUAAUAGAUGCUUAGGAGUUAGGACUACCUAACUUCUUUGUAAGCCGUCCAUAUAGUACAGCCUUGAUAUGGUAGACUUUAAAAUAAUAAAUUUUGCAUAGGCUGAUCUAAGCAAAGUUAGAAUAGUAACCAUGUUACGAUGCAUGAUCAUACAGUGCAAAAUUAGAUUGAUGCAACUUAUUACUACACCACUAUCUGCUCUAAAAAGACAUUAGAGUGUGGCUAAUAUUUAAAUCUACAAGGUUAGAAACUAUCCCCUAAUAGCAGGUACGGCUCCGUCCUCCAAGACGAAUUCCAGUACCAAUUCAAUGGCCGCGUUGCGUUAGUUAUGACCAUAACAUGCUCUUCCCUCGUCUUUUCCACCAAACAGUAUGGGAACCUAAACAAUAGGCUGGUGAGAUAUCAAACACAAGGCGGUGAGGGGACCGCCAUCAUUUAAUCGUCUUUAAAGAAGAAGCAGCUUCUCCAGCUCACUGAUGUGGACUUUCCAAUAUACGUGUCCACCGAUUCGACGGGCCCCGACGUUGUAUCAAACAAAUCAAGAAUUCCACGUCCUCAGCCAUCCUUCCCCCUUGCGAGCCUCACGCCGUCCUCUUGCUAUCGUAACGCCGUCGUUCCGCUCAAAAAGGCCGGCGUAGCGGCUUGACUGAGUCGUAAGGGCAGACAUACCAACUUCACGGCUUUACCAACUUCAGAAAUUAACGGCGCUCGUUUUUUUCUUUUUUUCUUGCAACCGUUUGAUAACAUUGAUCUUUAAUUACGCAAUCAGGAGAUAUUUUAAUUUAAUCAAAGGUUAUGGCGUUUAUUGGCUCUCAUUGUACUAUCACCGUCAGAUCAUGAUCAGACGGCUGGUGUGGCGUCUCUACGUUGAAACUAGUUUACCGAAGGGUUGGACUCGCUUUUUGGUUUUGAUGAGAUCGGAUCUGGACGGACGCGGAUAUGGUCAUCGGACAGCUGUUGCAGGGUCCCAUUCGGGGACAUCAUCGAACGUCUACCGUUUGAUGUGGGGCCCGAAGAUAUUAACUGUCGGAUCACGACAGGCUAGCAGGCGCUAACGGCCAGAUCGCGUCGGCGUGUUCGAAUGUCGUUGUCGGGUCAGAUGCUGCGCGAACGGAACACGCCGUUGGAGGUGACGUGGGCCGGUCAGCAGUUCUGUUUGAAGCGCGACAGAUGAGGAACGGCAACGUUUUGCGUACGUUAUAACAACUCUAGAUGAACGUAUUAAAGGAACUCCAAAUCGAACCCUAAACAGGUGCGAGAUGGAUAGAGAGAGAGAGAGAGGAGACACUCUAUCUAAGGUAGUAAGGUGAUCUAAUACACUGCAAGUGUGGCACCCAAGUGGUCGACUUUGUGAUUCUUUUCUAUUUGUAUAGGAGAAUAACUUCCUUCUAAAAGUCCGGUGAUGAGAUAGGAGAACAUCCAAGAGCAACAGCUAUAUCCCAUUGGCAUUUUAAAAUCGUAAGGAAAGACCGAAAGAGGGAGGAAAAAAUAUCACCAAGCCCGUUCUUCUGAGAAUAAAAACUUUAUCCAAAAAUUUAUAUUUUUUAGAUAAAUAUUUUCUAAAUAAUAUCUAGAUAAAAAAUAAUUUAUUCAUAUUUUUUUAUGCAUUGGAAAUAGCUUCGAAAUUUAUUAUAUAUGUUCUUUUGUAUUACCUCUUUUCCCAGUUAGUUUCUAUCUAUAUUUUCUAUAAUAAUAUAUAUAUAUAUGUAUAUAUCUUAUUAUAAAUAUUGUUACAUUAUAAAUAAUAAAAAAUAUUUAAUAAUAUAUAUUAUUAUAUUUAAUAAUAUAAUAUAUGAUAUGAUAUUAUAUAUUUUAUAUUAUAAUAAAUAGUAUUGUAAUAUAUAUGAUAUAUUAUAUUAUAUAUUAUUAUAUCUUAUUAUAUAAUAUCAAGGUUAGAGUAUUUUAGGAACAAAAUUAAAAGAUUAUUUUAUUCGUUGAUGGGAAAAUGACUUACCCACCUUUUAGAUUGGUAGGACUUUCAUCUUCUUUUAUGAGUAAAAGCUAUUCAUGGAAAAAUAAUUUAUCCAUUCAGAAAAGUAUGAGAAUAUGGGUAAGUUGGUAAAUAAAAAAUUUAACUAACUUUUUUCAUGAUAUUUCUCCUUUAAAAAACGGGCCCUUAAGCAUUUUCAGCCUAUUGUAUUUCUUUAUGUAGUGCUAGCAGCCAUAGAUUGUGAUGGUUACCAUAUUGAAGAAGAUUAUAAUUUUUAAGAUACGACUAAGAAAUUAAUUAGCUGUUGCUUGUAUGGUUAAAGAUGUCACGAUCAUAUUUUCAUGAUAAAAAAUUGAUUAUAUAUUUGAAAAGAAUUAUCUUUUGAGUAUUUGUCUUGUAAUUUGAAGGGCUGGUCAAUGUUUGAUAGUUGCUGUAGCCACGGUUUUAAAAUUCUGUGUUUCUCUUCCGUGUCGAACUUUGAGGGCUCACACGGCAUUCGUACUUACCUGUGAAGAUAUCGAGAAAAAAGGUGCUCUUUUGUCAAGAUGAAUAAUGAAGUGAUAAAGGUUGUGAAACGCCAAUUUAAUCGGCUAGUUCUCUUUAAUGUUUCUUGCGCCUCUCUGUAUGUCCUCACUUGUUGGGUACAAUGCUCAUUNNNNNNNNNNNNNNNNNNNNNNNNNNNNNNNNNNNNNNNNNNNNNNNNNNNNNNNNNNNNNNNNNNNNAUACAUAUAUAUAUAUAUAUAUAUAUAUAUAUAUAGUGAUUUUAUAUAGUUUAUUUUGUCAAUAAAUAUUCAACAAGCUGCACAAUGCUGCUAUGUGAAUUGAUAAAUUUGAAUUAUGGUUGGAUUAUGCUGUAUACAUCAUGAAAACAAUUGAGAACCAUAUACAUUGAAAGAAAUCGAAUAGCCUUAUCAAUCUACACCAUCGGUUGUCACCAUCCUUUAGUUCAUUCCGACUACAAUGGCCACGAUGCACCGUUGCAGAGUUACCAUAGUACAUCAUUAGCAAUAGAAUAGCCUUAUCAUCAUCUACUUAGGUUCCAAAACUUAAUCCACACUCCUCAAAAAACGAGAUAUAAAUCUGCUAUCUCAAUCUGAUACAAUGAUGAUGAAGGCCCCAUACCAUUUGACAAUCUUUUGACGUACAUGCUCGCUAACCUCUCGAGGAAAAGACCAAUCUUAAAAGUGAAAAGUAUGCCAACUUCAUCAUUCGAUCAAUCUAUAAUUAUCCAAACUGCAUCAUUACUAUCAAGAGUUCUACGCAAACCUAUCAUAAAAUCCAUAACGACGUGCUCUAAUUUCUACCCAGGAAUGGACUUGGCUCACUAUUUCUCAACUGAUAAUUAGGCCAUAUGCGUAGCCCCUUUAACUGUAGUGUAGGGAGGCCUCUGGUUGCUGACGCGUCUAAAACACAAAUCCUCCAUUCCUCCAUCCACUUAUCCAUUAUUUCUUGUUGCAGUGUUGCUUGACAUCAGCUGGGGGUCAAGUGAACAUGACUGGAACUUUCCAUUAGCAAGGAUGAUCUCAUUGAAUUGAGCUUAGGUUUGAGAGAUGCCGUAAAAUCAUGGGUCAGAGCCUGUUUCUGGCCAAGUUCAAAGCCUUUAAUGGACAUGGAAUCGCUUUUGAAUCUCACUUUCCUCAACUUCGGUGGGAGAAUUUAUUUGUCCAUAGGAUAUUUUGGUAUGAGGCAAUCUAUAGUUUUAUCAGCAUGGCAUCAGAUAGGUGAAAGGCCUCUGCAUUUGAGUUUAGAGGUUCCACAUAUUUGAUGUGGUUUACUCUAAAUAAAGGUUCAACUUCUGAAGAAUGCGGCGAUCUAGCUCAACCUUUUAGAGGUUUAAAGCAAAACAUAAAAUACGUAUACUGCUAAAAAAAGCACCAGCACUUUGUAGUGUUUGGUCUCUACAGAAAAUUAGUCAAAAGAAGAAGGAAAAUUUAAUAAAAAAUUAAAAAAAUAAAGAGGAAGAAAACUAUUAAGGACUCCAUGGUUUGUAAAAAAGUAUUUUUUUAUUGUAAUGUUUUUCUGAAAAGAUCAUACCUGGAUAUAUAAUAUCUAUUUAUGUAUCUUUGGUUGGCCAUGAAAAAGUAAUAUAUUUAAGAGUGGUUUAUGUUUGAUUUAUCAUAUAUUUUUUUGAAAAAGUUACUUAAAAUAUUUAUUAUAUUUUUAAUAAAAAAAUUAUUUAAUUCUAUUUGAAAGCUUAAAGCCACUUUUAGUUGAAAAAAAAGUUAAAUUUUUAACAUAUAGUAGAGUGACUUUCUCAAGUCACACUUUUUGAAAAAAAUAUAAAAAUCUUAUUUUCAUUAAAAAAAUUAUUUUUUAUUUUUUAAAAAAUAAUUAAAUUUUUAAUAUUUUUUUCUUGUUUUAUUGAUCAGGCUUUCCUUUCAAUUUCUCUGAAGUCUGAACCAAAUAAGUUCUGCAAUCGUAGCCAUAACAGCGAUUUUAAAACUUUGUUUUAUUUCGCCAAGAGCAGCCACCUGUUCGCCGCCGCGAUACCAGAUUAACGGCUACGAUUUGCAGUUACACCCGAACCUUCUCGAACGAGACACUGUUUACGGCCGUCUUCUCCUCCUUCCUUGGACCCUUGCCCUCACCGGCGCUGUCGCGGCGCACGUACCCAAACCGUUGGCAAUGGAGGAAAAAGAUUCGCCGACCCUCCAACGUACCAUGAACCUCUGAUAUUGUUCCCCUUAAAAAUUUUUGUUUAUGUUUACAUUUUCUCCUUUCCGUUUGCUUUCAGAAGAACAAGAAGAAGUGAAGGGGAAAAGGAAAACCUUGGUGGUGAUUCUGAUGGGUCCCCCAGGCAGCGGCAAGACCACCUUCUGCAACGACGUCAUGAGCUCCGCCCGCCGUUGCUGGGUUCGGAUUUGCCAGGUCUCUUCCCAUCCAUCCCUCGUUUAGUCACUGUAUAUGAUACUGUUCCGAUCAAAAUUUGCUCUUUAAUUGGUACAACCUGGGCUUUGAUGCCCUAGGGAGGGACUCAUGAUGGUGUUGCGUUGAUUUAAUCGUUUGAUUACGCCCAAAACUAGAUGUUACUAUGUUAGAUGCUAAGACGACAACAAUGUGUCGCCCUUUAGAUAUAUCGUAAAGAAUGGGCAAAUUUAGCUAUAUGUUAGACUCCUCCUAAGAAAUUUUGCAUACUAAUUCCUUUCUUUGUUAAUGAUGCCAAGUGCGGAAAAUUUACAACCAUGAUCAGCUGAUAUUGCAAAACAGAUAGAUUAUGAGGGUAAAGUGAAUGCUAGACCAAGUGUCUAUCCACUAUGGUGAAAGGUUAGAGAAAAAUGGAAAUUGCAACUGAAUGGCAGAGAAAUGAAAGUCUGCAUUUUUUUUUAAACAAAAAAAAGAUGCAAGAUAAAGACUUAUCUCAAGUAAUCGGUCCAACCAAUUUUUUAGAACGGCUCAACCUGUAAACAUGCAGAUUAUAUGAUCAUAGGGUCAUGAUGUUCAGACAAUUCCUUUAUCCACAACUUACCGGCAUACCAAGAAACUGACAUGUUUUCAAAGUGAUAUGGUUGCAUGCUGUCUCUAGGAUACCUAAUUACCAAGUUUAUGUUCCUUGAGAUAGGGUUUAACAUGAUAAAUAUGAAGGGCCCUGUCUUCAUCAUCCUCUUCCAUUCAAAACUGAAUUAGGCCUAGUUCUUUCGCCUUCGAUUUUGUUCAGUUGCUUUUUCAGGAUCUCAUGGUUUCUCGUUUUAUAAUUCUGAAUUCUGAUUGAAGGAUGCUGUUCCUUAUAAUGAUCAUUGUACCGCAACUUACAUUAUAUUUCAAUGCUUACCAUUUACAUGCAGUUAUUGGCUCAUUGCUUAUAAGAACAUGUUAGUUAGUGAUUUUCUAACAAUACCUUAUCAUUGGCCUUGGCCAUUUCAUCUUUAUAAUAAGGUUACACCUAAAAGGCUUUAGCUGCCCAUCAAUGGUGACAGCCACCCUGGAGACAAAUAUUAUAUGAGGCGUGGGGGCUUUAUAUCGACAAUAGGGAGGAUUUUUUUUUUUUGGGUGUCUAUAGUUGAGACUGGUUGUAGAUGAAUCAUGUAACCGAACGUUUCUGCUAUCUUGUUUGUUCUUUUCAUUCUUUUUGUUUCACUAAUGGCAGUAGAACCUGUAUACUGUGUUGACCUAUUAGUGUCAGCAAAAUAAACUGAUUUUAUAGGUUUACGCGUGUAAAAUUUACAUACUUUUAAUGGAUGAAUAUAUGAAUUGUUGUAAAAUGUAAAUGUCCUAAUCUUGUUUGAUUGUAUUAUGAUCCAUACCAGAAAAUAGGACACCUGGGCAAGUUAAAAUCACAUUUUCUCUGAGGAUUUACAUUCUACUAAAUUUGUAAUUUAUUCAUGCCAUGGAAUAGAUCUUCCAUCCAUCUGGCCAUUAUCAUGUCCUACAGUGAGUGCACAUGGCUUUUUUUUUUUGGAAUUUUUUUUAUACAAAUUUUCUGAACUGAUUGCCAUCAUGGGCCAUCUUUGCUUGUUUAAGUCUUUUAUUUGAAAAGCCUUUGGGUUCUGAGUAUUUUGCUAUUAGGCUAUUUAUAUGUUUUAUUUCUAAUCAUAUAUCUGUUUCUGUGAUAUGGUCCAUCUUAGUUGUGUUUCAAAACUGAAAGAUUAAUCUUUUUUACAGGAUACUAUUGCAAAUGGAAAAGCUGGAGCAAAAUCACAGUGCUUAAAGAGUGCAGCUGAUGCACUGAAGGAUGGUAAAAGUGUUUUCAUUGAUAGAUGCAACUUGGAGCGAGACCAGCGUGCUGAUUUUCUGAGGCUUGGAGGAGCACAAGCAGAUGUACAUGCAGUGGUCCUUGAUCUGCCUGCUCGGCUUUGUAUUUCCCGGUCAGUGAACCGGACAGGGCAUGAAGGGAACUUGCAAGGAGGAAAAGCUGCUGCUGUCGUUAAUCGCAUGCUACAAAAGAAAGAACUACCCCAGCUGAGUGAGGGAUUCUCUCGGAUUACAUUUUGUCAGAACGAAAAUGAUGUUAAAAAUGCUGUCAAAAUAUACAGUGCACUGGAUCUGUCUGAUACCCUUCCAUCUGGAGUGUUUGGCCAGAGGAGUAAGGAUGCAAAAGUCCAGCUUGGGAUAAUGAAAUUUCUGAAGAAAGUAGAAAUACCAGAGAAUGAAACAUCAGGCAAAUGUAACGUGAUAGAUGACAAUACUUGUCAAGAUUCUAUUCCAAGACAAGAAACUUGUGGAAAAGAUCUGUGCUCCAUGGAACUUGAAAUGGAAAAUAAGGAUAAGAAAGGGAGUGACUCUUUGGAGAAAUCUUCUGUUGGUGAUCUUUCCUCGAAUGAUGUUCAUACACUAGCUUUCCCAUCCAUUUCAACAGCAGAUUUUCAAUUUGACCAUGAGAAGGCAUCUGACAUUAUAGUAGAGAGCGUUGCUGAUUUUUUGAGAAAGGUUGAUAAUGUCAGACUUGUUCUGGUCGACCUGAGUCACAAAUCAAAUAUCUUAUCUUUGGUUAGGGCUAAGGCUGCAGAGAGAAACAUUGACUCUAAAAAAUUCUUUACAUUUGUUGGAGAUAUUACUCAGCUGUACACAAAAAGAGGCCUACGUUGUAAUGUCAUUGCCAAUGCUGCCAACUGGUAAGAUUUCAUAGUGAUGGAAUGUUGUCUUCUACUGGCUCCUUGGGUUUUGCUUUUAUUGAUGCUAUUCAUGUUAUUUGGUGCGUAUGUUCUGGAAAUGUAUUAUGCUUCGACUUCUGCACCUAUUUCAAGCUGAUAAUGUUGCACUUCUUUCAUAUUUUCUAGAAUAUAAUGCAGUCAUAGGUUACCUUCGUUGUUAAUUACUUAUGAAUACAUUAGUGUGUUAUAUGUGUCUUGUUAGUUCAUAAUUAUGCUUAAUACUUAAGAAAAGGGCUUGUUGGUUACGGUAACAGAAUGUACAUAUGCUAGUAUUUUAGAUUUCUAUACACUCGAAUGCUUUAGGAAAAAAGAAUGAGAUAGAUCUGCUUUAAUUAAUCCAAAAUUGCAUGAUCAAAAUGUAUUAACAGAUUGAAUUUCUAAAAUAUGUCAUGCUUCAGUUGAUAGUUGACAUCUGGAGUUUUAUGGAAAGUUUUGUUGGGUAGUACAUAUUACAUUUUUUAUUGUAUCACUUCAAGAGAUUUCUAUAUGAAGAUCAAAAAAGUUACAUAUUAAAAUGCCCAUCCAUGAUUUGCUUUAUAACCAGACUUUUCUGUAUAUCUUGUUUUUGAGAGAAGACUAUUCUGUUUGUCUCAUAUUAUUGCAUUUAAUUUUGUGAAGACUUUCUAUGUUUCACAUGUUACUAAAUUGCAUUGGUUUAUGUGAUUAUAAGCUUUGUUUGAUUGAUAUUAAAAAAAGAAAAACGACAUGACCAUACACUGUUUAGAAACCAGGAAGUAACACCAACAUCAACGACUGAUGCUUUGUGCAGGCGGUUAAAACCUGGAGGUGGAGGGGUCAAUGCAGCUAUAUUCAAAGCAGCAGGCAAAUCACUAGAAAUUGCAACCAAGGAACGAGUCGAAACUCUUAGCCCAGGGAACUCUGUUGCAGUCCCUCUUCCCUCAACUUCUCCCCUGUAUAAAUUCGAAGGAGUGACCCAUGUCAUACAUGUUCUUGGACCAAAUAUGAAUCCACAGAGACCAAACUAUCUUAAAAAUAACUAUGUCAAAGGAUGCAUGGUUCUUCGUGAUGCGUACUCAUCACUUUUUGAGCACUUUGCAUCUAUCUCAAAAAGCUGUCUUCAGAGGGAAGGCAGUGGAGAUUCUAGAUAUAAUCUUUCAGAUCCACAAAGCAAUCUCAUGGAAGGAACUACCAGUGAGCAGUUUCCACAGAGUGAUCAGAAGAUCAAACGAGAGGACCCUUAUGAUUUUGAGAGAAACAAAAGAUCCAAAGGAAUUCUAACUGAAUCAAGUUCAAAGGACAAAUAUAAUAUGCAGCAUGGCGAUCAUGGAUUUGCUGAAUCUGGAAUCAAUUCUGAUGCGCCAAAAUCCGAUGAUGAGAGCAGAAAGACCGCUGUUGCUACGAAAAGAACAUGGGGUUCUUGGGCCCAAGCUCUUUAUGAGAAUGCCAUGCAUCCUGAGAAGCACAAGAAUGCUGUCAUGGAGAUAUCAAAUGAAUAUGUUGUUUUGAAUGAUCGGUAUCCCAAGGUUUGGCAUGUUAAAUUAAACAUUAUGCUUUAACUGACCUCUACCCCAAGUUCGAUCAUGUUGUUGUUGUAUUAUAUCUGAACUUUUGUUAUGCAGGCAAAAAAGCAUAUUCUGGUGCUUUCGAGAUUGCAUGGUCUCGACUGUCUUGCAGAUGUCCAGAAAGAACACCUUCCUUUGAUGAAACAAUUGCAUGCUGUGGGAGUGCAGUGGGCUGAAAGAUUCUUAAGCGAAGAUGCUUCUUUAGUAUUUAGACUUGGAUAUCAUUCAGUGCGUUCAGAGUCAACAUAAAUUUCUUUAUUUUCUUAUUCUUUUCUUGUUUCAGUUGAUUUUGGCGUAGUGACCUCAGUUUCUGUUUUGGCCAUCUUACAGGUCCCAUCAAUGAGGCAACUGCACCUUCAUGUUAUAAGCCAGGAUUUUGACUCGACGCACUUGAAGAACAAAAAACACUGGAACUCUUUUAACACCGCUUUUUUCCGUGAUUCUACUGAUGCAAUAGAGGAGAUUGAUAAGUAUGGAGCAGCAAAGAUCAAUGAUGAGAAGUUGCUGACAAUGGAGUUACGCUGCCACAGAUGUCGGAGUGCACAUCCUAAUAUCCCAAAGCUUAAAUCCCAUGUUGCUAAUUGCAAAUUUUCCUUUCCCUCUCAUCUUCUCCACAAUGGCCGACUUGUGUCGGCUUCAUCAAAAACUGUAAGUGAAAAACCAUGAACUCAAUGGGUACAGUGUUUUGGACAUUGGAGUUGCAGGUAUGAUGCCCUGGUUUUGUUUGUGGAUACUGGGCUGGAGGUAUACGACAAUGAAAUGAAACCAUAAUUCUAUGGAUAAGGAACAAUUUUUUGGCUAUUUACAGUGGGAUCUUCGCCUGUUUGUGUUUCCGUACAGUUUGACACGCUAAUUUCUUUCUUGUUAGGUUCCAUCGCUUGAUAUAUUUGAGGGAUUUUCCUCUAGGUUCUAUCUCCUCUCAGAUUGCCUAAUGGUUUUGCUUGUCCCCCUGGAUCCAUAGCGAUGGGUCGGGCCAGGGUAAAGCAAGGCCCAAAAACCUUGUGCUUAAGGGUAGGCCCUUUAGGCCCACGGGAUCGGGUUUUUGUUAUGGUUGUGGAUCUCUGUUCAGAAGCCAGUUAGCUGGCGAACAGCAGAGACAAAGACAUCAGUUACUCUUUCAAGGUGGUUAUCAUCUUUCGUCCUUUUUAUUUUUCGGCUAACUUUAUGUCUCGUUCUGGCUGGGACUAGACAAGCUUUCAGAACUUACUCCUUCCUCUCCUAUUCAUUCCUAACCUUUUUUAAGGUGUUGCCAUUCAUACCCUAGCAAGCUAGAUUUUCCCUAUCCAAUAGUCAUGUAAGGCCAAUACAGGGAUUUGUCGCCAAACCUAUAACAAGGUGUCUAUCUCAGCUAGUAACUACAUUUUAUUCCGCUUCUAAGCAAAGAUUACUGUACCAUGACUUCAAGCAAUCCUCCUUUGGUAUCAUUGUCAUCUGUUGGCCGCCACAUCCACAUACCCUACCUUAGGAGAAAUUAUACCCUACACCAGGAACACCAUAUCAGCGGUGCACGACACAAGUCAAAAUUUUCAUUCCUGUAAACUCCAUUCACCAUAAAGUUCAUCUUAGAUUGCCACCCCCAUCACCUCAUUUUCGAUUGUUUCUGUAGUGUAGUGCUGACGUGGUGCACCUGGUGUUGAGUAUAAUUUUUUCUGUUUUAGCCUCCACCAAGGCAAAAAUAGAUAUUUUUUAUAAAAUUUGUUCUCUUUUGAGUUGUCAGUUCGCGAGGAAGGGCGGUCGGUUUAAUAUUAGCCGACGCGGUUUAUCUGUGUUGAGUAAGUAUUAGUGAUGGGCGAAAUGUAAGUUGAGCCUCAUCUUGCGUGCUGGUAAUUGAUCAGCAGCACGUCGGAAGAAAGAGUCUGAUUUGAUAUGCACAACUUGCUUCCUUGCAUAGCUCGCUUUGCGUGAAAGUGUAUGUGAUAAUAUGCCAUGCUAAUAGUAAAAGGCUAUAUGAUUAUAAUAGAUACAACAUUUUCUUAGUUUGUUUCUAAGAGGAGCCCUUUUUGAUUUAGUUUUAUUUUUUAAUGCACCUCAUAAAUUUGAAAAUGUGACAUAUAUCAUAUUUGGCCUUAAAAAUGGAAAUGAAAAAUUUGCCACAUUACAGAGUUAACAUGAGACAGAUGAUCCUUUAUAGAUAUUCAUGCUAAGUCGUUUCAGAAGCUUAGACCAUGCCAUGUCCAAACCUGAUCUGGCCAGAAAGUAAGAUUUAUAGAACAAACAUUGCUUUAUUAGUGAAAUUCGAUAACAUUUGAAAGACAAUGAGAACUUAUCUUGACCUAAUUAGACCAAUCUUGCUUUAAAUUUUCUUUGAUUUGGACCUCCAUUGUAGAAUUUUUGACAUCUCUAGUAAGCUAUAGAGUAUUUCUAUACCCUCAGUGUCCAUUCCUUAAAAGAACAGAGUUUCCAGAAGAAAAUUGCUACCGCAUGAAUUUAGCUAUCUGCAAGCAAGAAAACAAGAGACAUGUUGGUUGUCGCAAUAUCAAAACUCAUGGUGGGGGCAACAACAGCAAGAAUAAAGAUUUAAGCCAUGCAAGAUGGUCCUCCAGAUAACAACAUUAGCAUAUAUUCUCUACACUGCCAUGAAAUUGUUGCUUCCCAAAGAAAAAGAAAAGGGAAGACAAAGAAAAGAAAAAGUUUCUCCAUCUUACAGAUCACUCUCUUAUCUUGAAUCCAAGCAAUCAGUUCAAUGACCAGCUUUUUCCCUUCUUUGCUUGGCACGUUUCCAUGUCUGUCGGCCCUUAUUCUUCCACUUAUCAACACCACCAGGUUGACGUUUCUCCUCAAUUUCUUGGACCUUACGUUUUCUGCAAGACAUCAAAUACACUCAUAUGAACAGAAGAAUAAAUAAUAUUUCACCAAAACAUAUAACUUGCAAAUUUACUGAGUUUAUUGGCCUAAUACCCUGCUGUAACAAUAAAAAAAAGCAGGACAAAGUUACCAUAGGAAAGUGAAUAUGAUACAACGUUUUCAGUUACUAUGAUCGUAAAAUUGCAUUUGGAGUCAGAGACUCUGUAGGUACGACAAGCACCAUGAUUGCCAACUCCAUUCAUAUAACUUUGAGAUAAUUCACCUCUAUGAAAAAACAGGCUGCUUUGGGCAUGCUAUCCUGCUGCAAUAUUUCAAAUGGCAUGGAUGUGCAAUCACAAAACCUUUUACACCAAGGUUGGGUAUGGAAUUCUGCAGGCAAACUUCCACUUGGAAUUCUAGAUUGUAAUCUAAGUUUAAUGGGGAAUGUUGUCUCACCUGUAAGCCUUAAAUGCAUGAUCAGAUAGCAGUUCAUCCGCCAAUGUUGCCUUUCUCUCUUUCUUCUUCAGCCUGCCUGAGAAGAACUCAGAUGCAGGUUCAAUAAUGGUACCCACCUAACAGAUUUUGACCAAACAUAUUAAUCAUUUGAAAUGAGAUGAAAUUGGUGACUGAAGAUACUUUUCAAACAACUGCAGAAAAGUAAGGCAACUUGCCUGAAAAUACUUCGGGAGGGCCUUCGAUUUCUCUCCCCUUUUGAAGUGCCUUUUUGGAUCGAUAGCACUCCUCAGCUGCAGCAUGAAUAAAAUGUCAAAACUCCAACGUAGAUAGAGUGAAGUAAUUAGAACCAACCCAUGCAUUAGCCCUGUACAGUAUCUUGAUAAUUCUCAGACUAACAUUAAAAAAAAAAAAUCUUGAGUAAAAAACUCAAACACAAUGUU
rnacentral:lncRNA from 1 species